AGUGAACGCUGGCGGUAGGCCUAACACAUGCAAGUCGAACGGCAGCACAGUAAGAGCUUGCUCUUACGGGUGGCGAGUGGCGGACGGGUGAGGAAUACAUCGGAAUCUACUUUUUCGUGGGGGAUAACGUAGGGAAACUUACGCUAAUACCGCAUACGACCUACGGGUGAAAGCAGGGGAUCUUCGGACCUUGCGCGAUUGAAUGAGCCGAUGUCGGAUUAGCUAGUUGGCGGGGUAAAGGCCCACCAAGGCGACGAUCCGUAGCUGGUCUGAGAGGAUGAUCAGCCACACUGGAACUGAGACACGGUCCAGACCCCUACGGGAGGCAGCAGUGGGGAAUAUUGGACAAUGGGCGCAGGCCUGAUCCAGCCAUACCGCGUGAGUGAAGAAGGCCUUCGGGUUCUAAAGCCCUUUUGUUGGGAAAGAAAAGCAGCAGGUUAAUACCCCGCUGUCCUGACGGUACCCAAAGAAUAAGCACCGGCUAACUUCGUG
rnacentral:rRNA from 1 species